UCCAGACUCCUACGGGAGGCAGCAGUGGGGAAUAUUGCACAAUGGGGGAAACCCUGAUGCAGCGACGCCGCGUGAGUGAAGAAGUAUUUCGGUAUGUAAAGCUCUCUCAGCAGGGAAGAUAAUGACGGUACCUGACUAAGAAGCCCCGGCUAACUACGUGCCAGCAGCCGCGGUAAUACGUAGGGGGCAAGCGUUAUCCGGAUUUACUGGGUGUAAAGGGUGCGUAGGUGGCAGGGCAAGUCAGAUGUGAAAGCCCGGGGCUCAACCCCGGUACUGCAUUUGAAACUGUCCGGCUAGAGUGCAGGAGAGGUAAGCGGAAUUCCUAGUGUAGCGGUGAAAUGCGUAGAUAUUAGGAGGAACACCAGUGGCGAAGGCGGCUUACUGGACUGUAACUGACACUGAGGCACGAAAGCGUGGGGAGCAAACAGGAUUAGAUACCCUAGUA
rnacentral:rRNA from 1 species